rnacentral:rRNA from 1 species
UACAGAGGGGGCAAGCGUUGUUCGGAAUUACUGGGCGUAAAGGGCGCGUAGGCGGCCUGUUAAGUCGAACGUGAAAUCCCCGGGCUCAACCCGGGAACUGCGUCCGAUACUGGCAGGCUUGAAUCCGGGAGAGGGAUGCGGAAUUCCAGGUGUAGCGGUGAAAUGCGUAGAUAUCGGGAGGAACACCAGUGGCGAAGGCGACUUCCUGGCCUGUUCUUGACGCUGAGGCGCGAAAGCUAGGGUAGCAAACGGG